ACGGCGUCUGGUUGGUGGAACUCGCCGCCAUCGGCGCCGACGGCGACGUCGCGCAGGCGACGCUCACCGGGCUCGGGCUCCGGGACGCCCUGC
rnacentral:tRNA from 1 species